rnacentral:tRNA from 1 species
GCGGGCGUAGCUCAGUGGUAGAGCGCCUGCCUUCCAAGCAGGCUGUCGUGGGUUCGAUUCCCAUCGCCCGCUCCA